rnacentral:rRNA from 1 species
UUGAUCAUGGCUCAGAUUGAACGCUGGCGGCAUGCCUUACACAUGCAAGUCGGACGGCAGCGCGGGCUUCGGCCUGGCGGCGAGUGGCGAACGGGUGAGUAAUACAUCGGAACGUAUCCUGGAGUGGGGGAUAGCCCGGCGAAAGCCGGAUUAAUACCGCAUACGCUCUGAGGAGGAAAGCGGGGGACCUUCGGGCCUCGCGCUCAAGGGGCGGCCGAUGGCGGAUUAGGUAGUUGGUGGGGUAAAGGCCUACCAAGCCGACGAUCCGUAGCUGGUCUGAGAGGACGACCAGCCACACUGGGACUGAGACACGGCCCAGACUCCUACGGGAGGCAGCAGUGGGGAAUUUUGGACAAUGGGGGCAACCCUGAUCCAGCAAUGCCGCGUGUGUGAAGAAGGCCUUCGGGUUGUAAAGCACUUUUGUCCGGAAAGAAAUCA